rnacentral:misc_RNA from 1 species
GAUGAAGAACGCAGCGAAAUGCGAUACUUGGUGUGAAUUGCAGAAUCCCGUGAACCAUCGAGUCUUUGAACGCAAGUUGCGCCCGAAGCCAUUAGGCCGAGGGCACGCCUGCCUGGGCGUCACACGUCGUUGCCCCCCCAUCUACUCCUUCGGGAUUGCGGGGGGCGGAUGAUGGCCUCCCGUGCGCCUCGUCGCGCGGUUGGCAUAAAUGCCAAGUCCUCGGCGACACACGCCACGACAAUCGGUGGUUGCGAAACCUCGGUUGCCCGUCGUGUGCGGUCGUCGCGCAUCGAGGGCUCGAAAAAUUGCCGGGCUCCGGCUCGGCUUUCAACGCGACCCCAGGUCAGGCGGGGUUACCCGCUGAAUUUAAGCAUAUCAAUAAGCGGAGGA